rnacentral:rRNA from 1 species
UACGUAGGGGGCAAGCGUUGUCCGGAAUUAUUGGGCGUAAAGAGCGCGUAGGCGGUCCGAUAAGUCGGCUGUGAAAGUCAGGGGCUCAACCCUUGGAAGCCGGCCGAUACUGUCGGACUAGAGUCCGGAAGAGGCGAGUGGAAUUCCCGGUGUAGCGGUGAAAUGCGCAGAUAUCAGGAGGAACACCAAUGGCGAAGGCAGCACUCUGGGACGUGACUGACGCUGAGACGCGAAAGCGUGGGGAGCAAACAGG